rnacentral:rRNA from 1 species
UACGUAGGGUGCGAGCGUUGUCCGGAAUUAUUGGGCGUAAAGAGCUCGUAGGCGGUUUGUUGCGUCGGCCGUGAAAACCUGCAGCUUAACUGUGGGCCUGCGGUCGAUACGGGCAGACUUGAGUUCGGUAGGGGAGACUGGAAUUCCUGGUGUAGCGGUGAAAUGCGCAGAUAUCAGGAGGAACACCGGUGGCGAAGGCGGAUCUCUGGGCCAUUACUGACGCUGAGGAGCGAAAGCGUGGGGAGCGAACAGG